rnacentral:rRNA from 1 species
AUUGAACGCUGGCGGCAGGCCUAACACAUGCAAGUCGAACGCGUGGCGCACGGGUGAGUAAUGUGUGGGAAUCUCCGUGAUGGAGGGGUAUAACUACUGGACACGGUAUCUAAUACCGCAUCCCAUCGGAUGUGCCCAGAUGGGAUUAGCUAGUAGGUGGGGUAACGGCGCACCUAGGCGACGAUCCCUAGCUGGUCUGAGAGGAUGACCAGCCACACUGGAACUGAGACACGGUCCAGACUCCUACGGGAGGCAGCAGUGGGGAAUAUUGCACAAUGGGCGCAAGCCUGAUGCAGCCAUGCCGCGUGUAUGAAGAAGGCCUUCGGGUUGUAAAGUACUUUCAGCGGGGAGGCGUUACCCGCAGAAGAAGCACCGGCUAACUCCGUGCCAGCAGCCGCGGUAAUUC